rnacentral:rRNA from 1 species
AGCUCCAAUAGCGUAUAUUAAAGUUGUUGCAGUUAAAAAGCUCGUAGUUGGAUUUCGGACUGGUGCACGCUCGGUCUGCCGCGAGGUGUGUUACUGGGCUGCACUGUCUAUCACCUUCUCAGAGUCCUGCUGUGCACUUCAGUGUGUGCAGUAAUUUGGAAUUUGAGACGUUUACUUUGAAAAAAUUAGAGUGUUCAAAGCAGGCGCACUUAGUGCCGGAAUACAUGAGCAUGGAAUAAUGGAAUAGGACUACGGUCUUAUUUUGUUGGUUUCUGAGACCGAAGUAAUGAUUAAGAGGGACAAUUGGGGGCAUCCGUAUUUCGUUGUCAGAGGUGAAAUUCUUGGAUUUACGAAAGACGAACAACUGCGAAAGCAUUUGCCAAGAGUGUUUUCAUUAAUC